rnacentral:rRNA from 1 species
AACGUAGGAGACAAACGUUAUCCGGAGUUACUGGGCGUAAAGGGCGUGCAGGUGGUCUGUUAAGUCUGGCGUGAAAGCUCCUGGCUAAACCGGGAGAGGUCGUUGGAUACUGGCGGACUAGAGGACGGUAGAGGCGUGUGGAAUUCCGGGUGUAGCGGUGAAAUGCGUAGAGAUCCGGAGGAACACCAGUGGCGAAGGCGACACGCUGGGCCGUACCUGACACUGAUACGCGACAGCAUGGGGAGCGAACGGG